CCUACGGGAGGCUGCAGUGGGGAAUAUUGGGCAAUGGGCGAAAGCCUGACCCAGCAACGCCGCGUGAAGGAAGAAGGCUCUCGGGUUGUAAACUUCUUUUGACAGGGAAGAGCAGAAGACGGUACCUGUCGAAUAAGCCAUGGCUAACUACGUGCCAGCAGCCGCGGUAAUACGUAGGGGGCAAGCGUUGUCCGGAUUUACUGGGUGUAAAGGGUGUGUAGCCGGGCUGCGAAGUCAGAUGUGAAAUCCGGGGGCUCAACCACCGCACGGCGUUGGAAACGGUUGGUCGUGAGUGUGGGAGAGGCAGGCGGAAUUAGUGGUGUAGCGGUGAAAUGCGUAGAUAUUAGGAGGAACA
rnacentral:rRNA from 1 species